rnacentral:rRNA from 1 species
AGAGUUUGAUCCUGGCUCAGAGCGAACGUUUGCGGCGGGCCUAACACAUGCAAGUCGAACGAGAAUCUCUUCGGAGGGGAAAGUGGCGCACGGGUGCGUAACACGUGGAUAACCAACCCCCUGGUUCGGGAUAACAUCGGGAAACUGGUGCUAAUACCGGGUGUGUUCGCGAGGCCGUCAGGCUUUGCGAAGAAAGACACGCAAGGGUCGCCAGGGGACGGGUCCGCGUCCCAUCAGCUAGUUGGUGAGGUAAUGGCUCACCAAGGCGAAGACGGGUAGCUGGUCUGAGAGGAUGAUCAGCCACACUGGAACUGAGACACGGUCCAGACUCCUACGGGAGGCAGCAGUGGGGAAUAUUGCGCAAUGGGCGAAAGCCUGACGCAGCCACGCCGCGUGAGCGAUGAAGGUCUUAGGAUCGUAAAGCUCUGUGGAGGGAGAAGAAGAAAGCCGGUGAAGAGCCGGCCUUGACGGUAUCCCUUUAGCAAGCACCGGCUAACUCCGUGCCAGCAGCCGCGGUAAUUC